UGGGCUUGACAUCUGGGGGAAGACCGUGGUUUCUCACGGUCUUCCCCCAGAUGUCAAGCCCAGGUAAGGUUCUUCGCGUUGCGUCGAAUUAAACCACAUGCUCCACCGCUUGUGCGGGCCCCCGUCAAUUCCUUUGAGUUUCAGCCUUGCGGCCGUACUCCCCAGGCGGGGCACUUAAUGCGUUAGCGCCGGCACCCAGGGGGUCGCUCCCCCAGGCACCUAGUGCCCAUCGUUUACGGCGUGGACUAC
rnacentral:misc_RNA from 1 species